rnacentral:rRNA from 1 species
AUUGAACGCUGGCGGCAGGCCUAACACAUGCAAGUCGAGCGAGCGGCGGACGGGUGAGUAAUGUCUGGGAAACUGCCUGAUGGAGGGGGAUAACUACUGGAAACGGUAGCUAAUUCCGCAUACCAUACGACGUGCCCAGAUGGGAUUAGCUAGUAGGUGGGGUAACGGCUCACCCAGGCGACGAUCCCGAUCUGGUCUGACAGGAUGACCAGCCACACUGGCAUUGAGAAACGGUCCAAACUCCAACGGGAGGCAGCUGUGGGGAAUAUUGCACAAUGGGCGCAAGCCUGAUGCAGCCAUGCCGGGUGUGUGAAGAAGGCCUUCGGGAUGUAAAGCACUAUCAUCGAGGGGGCAGUACCCGCAGAAGAAGCACCGGCUAACUCCGUGCCAGCAGCCGCGGUAAUAC